UACGUAGGGUGCGAGCGUUAAUCGGAAUUACUGGGCGUAAAGCGUGCGCAGGCGGCGCGUUAAGACAGGUGUGAAAGCCCCGAGCUUAACUUGGGAAUUGCGCUUGUGACUGGCGUGCUGGAGUGUGGCAGAGGGAGGUGGAAUUCCACGUGUAGCAGUGAAAUGCGUAGAGAUGUGGAGGAACACCGAUGGCGAAGGCAGCCCCCUGGGCCAGCACUGACGCUCAUGCACGAAAGCGUGGGGAGCAAACAGG
rnacentral:rRNA from 1 species